CCUACGGGAGGCAGCAGUGGGGGAUAUUGCACAAUGGGGGAAACCCUGAUGCAGCGACGCCGCGUGUGGGAAGACGGACCUCUGGAUUGUAGACCACUGUGCCCAGGGGCAAAGAUGACGGUACCUGGGGAGGAAGCUCCGGCUAACGACGUCCCAGCAACCGCGGUAAUACGUAGGGAGCGAGCGUUGUCCGGAAUUACUGGGUGUAAAGGGAGCGUAGGCGGGACUGCAAGUUGGGUGUAAAAUCUACGGGCUCAACCGGUAGCAGCACUCAAAACUGUAGUUCUUGAGUGAAGUAGAGGCAGGCGGAAUGCGUAGUGUAGCGGUGAAAUGCGUAGAUAUCAGGAGGAACACCAGUGGCGAAGGCGGCCUGCUGGGCUUUUACUGACGCUGAGGCUCGAAAGUGUGGGGAGCAAACAGGAUUAGAUACCCCAGUAGUC
rnacentral:rRNA from 1 species